rnacentral:rRNA from 1 species
AUUGAACGCUGGCGGCAGGCCUAACACAUGCAAGUCGAGCGGAGCGGCGGACGGGGGAGUAAUGCCUAGGAAUCUGCCUGGUAGUGGGGGAUAACGUCAGGAACCGGGCGCUAAUACCGCAAACUAUUGGCUGAGCAUAGGUCGGAUUAGCUAGUUGGUGGGGUAAAGGCCUACCAAGGCGACGACCCGUAACUGGUCUGAGAGGAUGAUCAGUAACACUGGAACUGAGACACGGUCCAGACUCCUACGGGAGGCAGCAGUGGGGAAUAUUGGACAAUGGGCGAAAGCCUGAUCCAGCCAUGCCGCGUGUGUGAAGAAGGUCUUCGGAUUGUAAAGCACUUUAAGCUGGGAGGCGUUACCAGCAGAAUAAGCACCGGCUAACUCCGUGCCAGCAGCCGCGGUAAUUC